rnacentral:rRNA from 1 species
AUUGAACGCUGGCGGCAUGCCUUACACAUGCAAGUCGAACGGCAGCGCGGACUUCGGUCUGGCGGCGAGUGGCGAACGGGUGAGUAAUACAUCGGAACGUACCCUGUUGUGGGGGAUAACUAGUCGAAAGAUUAGCUAAUACCGCAUACGACCUGAGGGUGAAAGUGGGGGACCGCAAGGCCUCACGCAGCAGGAGCGGCCGAUGUCUGAUUAGCUAGUUGGUGGGGUAAAGGCCCACCAAGGCGACGAUCAGUAGCUGGUCUGAGAGGUCGAGCAGCCACACUGGGACUGAGACACGGCCCAGACUCCUACGGGAGGCAGCAGUGGGGAAUUUUGGACAAUGGGGGCAACCCUGAUCCAGCAAUGCCGCGUGUGUGAAGAAGGCCUUCGGGUUGUAAAGCACUUUUGUCCGGAAAGAAAUCGCGCUGGUUAAUACCUGGCGUGGAUGACGGUACCGGAAGAAUAAGCACCGGCUAACUACGUGCCAGCCGCCGCAGUAA